rnacentral:rRNA from 1 species
GGGCGUAAGCGCGCGCAGGUGGUUUCUUAAGUCUGAUGUGAAAUCCCACGGCUCAACCGGGGAGGGGCAUUGGAAACUGGGAGACUUGAGUGCUGAAGAGGAGAGUGGAAUUCCAUGUGUAGCGGUGAAAUGCGUAGAGAUAUGGAGGAACACCGGUGGCGAAGGCGACUUUCUGGUCUGUAACUGACACUGAGGCGCGAAAGCGUGGGGAGCAAACAGGAUUAGAUACCCUGGUAGUCCACGCCGUAAACGAUGACUGCUUGGUGGUAGAGGGCUUCCGCCCUUUAUUGCUGAACUUAACGCAUUAAUCACUCCGCCGGGGGAGUACGGCCGCAAGGCUGAAACUCAAUGGAAUUGACGGGGGCCCGCACAACCGGGGAAGCAGGUGGUUUAUUUCAUACCACCGCGAAAAACCUUACUACGCCUUGACUUCCUAUGACUUCCCUAAAGAUAUGUCUUCUCCUUCGGA